GUGCCAGCCGCUGCGGUAAUACGUAGGUGGCAAGCGUUGUCCGGAAUUAUUGGGCGUAAAGCGCGCGCAGGCGGUUUCUUAAGUCUGAUGUGAAAGCCCACGGCUCAACCGUGGAGGGUCAUUGGAAACUGGGAAACUUGAGUACAGAAGAGGAGAGUGGAAUUCCACGUGUAGCGGUGAAAUGCGUAGAUAUGUGGAGGAACACCAGUGGCGAAGGCGACUCUCUGGUCUGUCACUGACGCUGAGGCGCGAAAGCGUGGGAGCAAACAGGAUUAGAUAACCCUGGUAGUCCACGCCGUAAACGAUGAGUGCUAGGGUGUUAGGGUUUCGAUGCCCUUAGUGCCGAAGUUACACAGUAAGCACUCCG
rnacentral:rRNA from 1 species